GCUUCGAUGGUUUAGUGGUAAAAUUAGCCGUUGCCAAGUGAGUCCUUCCAGACCAGCAGCAACAUCGGCUAGCCCCGUGUUCGAUUCACGGUCGAUGCA